rnacentral:rRNA from 1 species
UACGUAGGGGGCAAGCGUUGUCCGGAUUUAUUGGGCGUAAAGAGCGUGUAGGCGGCUUUACAGGUCCGUUGUGAAAACUCGAGGCUCAACCUCGAGACGCCGGUGGAAAACCGUAAGGCUUGAGUCCGGUAGGGGAUCACGGAAUUCCUGGUGUAGCGGUGAAAUGCGCAGAUAUCAGGAGGAACACCGGUGGCGAAGGCGGUGAUCUGGGCCGGUACUGACGCUGGAGGAGCGAAAGCGUGGGGAGCAAACAGG